GACGAACCGAGCGAACGUUGUUCGGAAUCACUGGGCUUAAAGGGCGCGUAGGCGGGCACUCAAGUCUGUGGUGAAAUCCGGCAGCUUAACUGUCGAACUGCCGUGGAUACUGGGUGUCUCGAGGGAGGUAGGGGCGUGCGGAACUGAUGGUGGAGCGGUGAAAUGCGUUGAUAUCAUCAGGAACUCCGGUGGCGAAGGCGGCACGCUGGACCUCUUCUGACGCUGAGGCGCGAAAGCCAGGGGAGCAAACGGG
rnacentral:rRNA from 1 species